GAUGAACGCUGGCGGCGUGCCUAACACAUGCAAGUCGAACGAAGCACUGAGAGUUUGAGAUUUCGGUCAAGAACACUCUUUGACUUAGUGGCGGACGGGUGAGUAAUGCGUGAGCAACCUGCCUUUCAGAGGGGGACAACAGUUGGAAACGACUGCUAAUACCGCAUGACAUAUUUGGAUCGCAUGAUCUGGAUAUCAAAGAUUUAUCGCUGAAAGAUGGGCUCACGUCUGAUUAGUUAGUUGGUGAGGUAACGGCUCACCAAGACUGCGAUCAGUAGCCGGACUGAGAGGUUGAACGGCCACAUUGGGACUGAGAUACGGCCCAGACUCCUACGGGAGGCAGCAGUGGGGAAUAUUGGGCAAUGGGCGCAAGCCUGACCCAGCAACGCCGCGUGAAGGAAGAAAGGCUUUCGGGUUGUAAACUUCUUUGUCAGGGACGAGGAGAAGACGGUACCUGACGAAUAAGCCACGGCUAACUACGUGCCAG
rnacentral:rRNA from 1 species